rnacentral:lncRNA from 1 species
UACAGAUAUCCACACGAAAACAAGAUAGAUUGAUCCUCUUAAUUUUUUCACAUGCAAUUGAUCAACUCUUAAUUACCCUUUGGAUCUCUAGAUCAAUUCCUUGAUCAGCCUUUUUCCUUUUCUUGGAUCUUCCUUGAUGUAGAUCAGCCACCAACCAAAGAGAGAAAGGAAGAGGGGACAUCCAACUAGAUUUUGAGCAUGGAGAAGUGGAUGCC